UGGCCAGCCCCGAUAUCGGUGGGGCCGGGGUGAGGGCCAGAGCCGGGGCCUCCCGGUGCCCCUCGCUGCCCGCGGCUCCGGGCCGGGCAUUAGCCCAGUUCGGCAGUGCUUGCCCCGAGCCGAGCCUCCCGAGAGGGAUUUGCUUUGGUUAAACCACACGGGCGGUUCGUCCGCGCUGGCUUUGGGGCUCCGCCGCACCUGUGGCUGCUCGGGACCCCGGAGAGACACCGGCUCACGGGCUCAGUGCUUGUGCGGACCUUUGCUUCCGCUUUGCGCGGAGCUCCGCACCGAACCCGAGGGCCGGUAGAUCCCUUCCUGCGGCCUCCUCCGCUGCUCAGCUGGCGCGGAUAGAAAAGGCUGGCACGUGGCAAGGGAGGAUCCGGUGCUUUUAUCUGCAAGUUGGGAUUUUUUUUCCUUAGAGUUUGUCAAGUGUGAAGUGGAAGAAUGACGGUGCGUGAAAGUGCUGAUGCGCGUUGAAGUUAUGGGACAAACCCAGGAAGCAAACAGAACUUGGUAGUUUACCUGACAGAGAGCAGAUCUUGAAAGACAGUGGUGUCAUGCAUCCACAGUCAGCUGAACUUGGGGCUGAGCCUGCUUAAACUUCUCUUGGGAAUGGAAAGAUUCUUGUUAUGUUAUUUUCCUUGCUAAGAGUAAUCCUACUGAGAUUCAGAAGAAGACUAAUUUAUUUGUUAACUAAUAAAUAAAAGUGCAAAGAAAAUUACACGGUUGAGCUCAAACAUCAACAUAAAAAGGAAAUAUGCCACAGUUUGUUUUCUAUUGCUCAGUUUCUGUGAGAGCAGCAGAAUAGUUUGGUUGUGUUUGCUCUGAGCUCUGUGUUUGAUUUGGACACUAUGGCUGAAUUCAUGCAGUGCUACCUGACUUCUUAUGCCUGGAUUGGCUACUUGUAGGAGUCUUAAUGGAACAAUUUUUAGGUAAGUUUUUAGGCAUCUAGGCCAAGACAAUGUUGCAUUCUAAAAUGUAUGGAUAAUCAGCUUCCUUGGGAUGUUACUUGAGACCUUGUGGCUUUUUUUUUUUUCCCUGCCUUUUGGAUUGUAUGGUUUUUACAUACAGCACUUAGUGCAGUACUGAAGAAUUAACAGAAGAAUAUAAAGAUUAAACAACAUUGUUUUUCAGCAAAGCUGCUGUCCUCUAGCCAGACAGUUUAGAUUUUUACUUGGCAUUUUGGGUUUUGGGAAAUCUCCACAGGGCAGGGAGUUAAGCAAUCAUUGCUCAGUCAUCCAUUUUAAUUUUAUUUUUCAGUCCACAGCUGUAGCAGGUUAUUCAAAGAGAAAUAAUAUGUUUUAAGGAGGUAACUUCCUGUUCAGUGGUCAAUAGAAAACUAAAUGAUAGAAUCAAUCUUAUCAUCAAUUUAUGCAUUAAGUGCUACCACUGGCACUUUCAGUAGUUGCUGAAGCAAAGAAGUGAAUUGAUUAUAAGAAUUAAACUUCCUUCAUAUACCUAGAGGUGAACAAGUCAUGAAAAUGGAGAGCUCAUUUGGUAAGAGACAGUAUGAAAGACUAGUAAAAAAAAAAAAAAAGUAUUAUAUCUAAAUGGUUUCUUGUACUUUUUUUUUUCUGUAAAGUGGGAUUUGAGCUGCAGACAUUUAUCUUGAAGCUUACAGGGCAGAGGUGUGACCAUAGAGUGAUGGUAUGAAUGUGAAAUGAAACAUGCUUGGUUGAUACUUAACCCUGAUUCCUGAAAGUUAUUUUCCUCUUCCAUCAUGAGUCUGAUUCUUUAAAGAAAGUGAUUCCUAUUCAUAGCAGGUUCUUUCUCUUGUUCUUCUCUUAACCUUUCUGAAUUGGAAGGAAGUUGUGGACUUCCCAUUGAAAUGGUAGGAACACUGAGAUAGGCCUUCAGCAAGGAAAAAUUUUCUGACCUGAUUUGCCUGUGUCAUCCUACAAGGCUUUCUGCCAUUAAAAGAGGCACUUCCACUGCUGUCACUUGUUUCCAGUCCUCUAGUGCUGUAUUAUGCCUCUUGAAAUAACACUGAUAGGGGGAGCUAAGUCAUGGAAGUGAGCAGCAGUCAUGUGAUAAGACUGAUAUGACAUUUGUGUGACUCAAUAACAAAAGCAAAACAUCUCAUAUUUUAGUAUUAAACAAAAAGAAGUUGUUACUGCUGUCACUAAGAGCAAGCCAAGUCCAUUCUUUAGCUGGUUUUAUGUAACCACAUCUGGGGAGAACGUAUAUACGUGUAUGUUCACACACAUGUGAACAGGUGUAAACCUACACCUGCUUUGCUGCGGGUGCUGGCUGAUGAGUAGAAUUAACAGAGAAUCAAUAUUUAGAAGUACUGGGAAGCUACACACCAAACAGAAUCAGAGCAUGGCAGGGCUUGGUUUGGUAGCCUCAGAAAGGGAGGGGACACUGCAGCUUGAGGCAGCAUUUUUUGGGUUGGUUGUUUUAAUUGCUCAUUGUUUGGUUUGUUGUUUUUUUUUUUUUGGGGAAUAUUCUGGAGCCAGGCCAUUGUGGCUGUAAAAUCUUCAGAUUUCCACUGAAGUCUCCAGAGGGGGAUAGCAUUUUACAUACCUUGAAUAGAUGGCCUUCUGGGUGGAAACAUUAUUAUGGUGUCUUUGGUCCUACAUUGUUUUUAAACAAUGGUGGUUUUGAAAUGCCAAUUAUAAUGGUUAAAAAUUCAAUGGUAAAAGUCUUUAGGAAGUCUGGAAGACAAACAUUUUAAAGAAAUAUGGAGAAUUUGAUGAAAACUAUACAGAUACAUAAUUAGGAUUUAAAGAUAGAUAGCAAUCUGAGAUACUUUUUUUGCUCAAAACUUUUGCCCCUGGUAGGGUCCUUGAACCUUCUGCCCUCACAUUUCCUCUAGGAGUGACACGCUGUGUUUAACAGGCAUUCAAAGUGGAAUUCAUGUUUGUGAAAUACUGGGAGUAGCCAAGACAAAGUCUUCCACAAGUACUGGGUUUUUGCAGGGGCACCAGAACUGCCUGGCAUGUGGAUCUUUAAGGAGACACUGAGGGCUAAAAAGGAUGAGAAAACAGAGAUUUAUUACGAAAUGUAGUCCAUCAUCUGGGGCUGAAAGUGAAUGUAUCACGCAAGGUGACAUUGAAUGUUGGCAGUGGUGUGAGUGCCAUGAAUUCCUGAACUUUGUUCAUUUUAUCUGGGCAAGUAUUUUUAUCGCUUACCUACAGUUACAAAACUAGGUAGAAGAGACAUCAAGGAUUAAACAAUGAGCACACAGCAUUUCAUUUCUACAGAUUAUAUUUCCAGCUCAAAAUCAGUAUAUUUCAAUGAGCUGUAGGAUUGAAAAAGGGUAAUCAGUAGCCAUGGCUGUGUUAUGUCUCCAGUAAACACAUGCUGCACUUGGAUUUGAAGCAGAUAUAACUAUUAUAAUUUAUUUUUUUUAGUAGUAUUAAUUUCCAGUGUUGUUGGUGAUUUUAAAACCCAACCCCCACUUUAUAUGCAUGUCCUACUAAGCUUUCCUUGCUUUGUAUAAUAAGGAGCUCCCCACUGCAAUAAUUUCUGAGAACUUUAAACAGAGAAUGGCAACAAAAAGAGGAAAUCUGAGUUUUAACAGGAGAUGUACUUGCCAAUCCAUAGUAGGUAAAAGUGAAAAAUCCCUGUAUCAAGUACCAGAAGUUUGUAGAACCAUUUGUAUUGUUUCCUGUUUGUAAGGAAAACUGAACAGACUUUCUCAUAAAGAGCAGUGUACAUCUGCAUGGCAUGUUAAAUUUGCAAUCUAUAGACUCAACUAGUUAAUAUGCCAGCUACUGUUUGGCUUUAGAUUCUGUUUGUUUUCCAUUGCUACAUUUGCUUGGAGUAUUUUGUUGUUGAGAAACUUGGGACUUUAUUCCCUGAAGCAGGCAAGGUUGCUGAUGCCCAAAGUUUAUUUGAGAAGCAAGGAAUGUAUAGCUGUUACACAGUGUGGUAACCUAAAAUGCCUGACUGACUCAGUUUCAAAGCUAAGACUCGUGUUUAGCAGCUGCCUUGUGUUUGCAAGUUUCUGCCCUUCUCAAAGAAACUAUACCCAAAAGUAGGCAAUUGCAGAUGAGUGACAUAUCAAUCAAAAUUUGUGCUUAAUUGGUUAUUUAUUAUGGCACUUAAUGUUACAAAUUCUAUCCCUUUCUCUCAGCCUACUGUUCUCUGGCUCCCUUGUUUCCUGCAAGCUCUGCAGAGCAGGGCUGAGCUGCUCGAGGUGCCUUAUGUUAGGCCCACAGGAGUCCUGUACUGUAGGAACUGACAGUGAGAGCCAGCUGGCAAAGCCCAAGUCUGAACCAUGGAUCCCCCAGCACCUGCUUCAUGUGUAGCAUGCCAGGGAGGAGGGUUACAAAUACCCACUUCUAGAGUUGCCCAAAUACACCACUUUAACAUAUGCUGAAGAUGUAUGCACAGGAUGGUGCUGAGAAUGUCUGCCCCAGCCCUUCCAGUCCCACUGGCUUUCCAUCCCAUCAUUACAGCUGAAAGAAAAACAGUUACUGAGAAGAAAUUCUUUACUGAGGGUGGUGAGGCACUGGAAUAGGUUGCCCAGAGAAGUUGUGGGUGCCCAAUCCCUGUGAAUAUCCAAGACCAUGGGAUGGGGCUCUGAGAACCCUGGCCUUGUGAAAGGCAUCCUUGUCCAUGGCAAUAGAGUUCAAAGUAGAUGAUCUUUAAGGUCCCUUCCAACCCAGGCCAUUCUAGGGUUUUAUGAUAUGAUGAUUCUGGGAUUCUGUGUGCUGUGCAACAGCUUCAACCAAAAUCUCUUCACUCCACACAUGUGUGCCAUGCUGUUAAAGCACUUUCCUGCCCUUUUGAGCAGAGGAGGGAAAGCUGAACUCCUGGGUGAAUGCUAAAUAGUGUACGGGCUCAGAGGGGUCCAUGACCCCUGCAAGGGCAUGAAGUAGGUGCCUAAGGAAAGGCUGAAGAUCUGGAAUUCCACACAAGGUACAACCCCAUCAUUAUGAUGAACUCAGCAGCGGAUGAGGUGUAUUGAGAGAUUUGUUGGUGUGUCUGAAUGGUUCUUUUCAACAUCUUAACAGAAUGGACAAUGAAGAUUACAUUCUUAGGUAUUCUAAUUUUUGCCUUCACUGUGCACUGGGGCAGGGUGUCUUAAUUUGGAGCUGUGGAUUUAGGCAAAGACACGCUGCAGUGCUCAGCACCGCAGCAGCCAGGCCCUUUAUUGAAUCUGGCCUCACUGCAAUAAGUGUGAGUAAUGGUAAGAGAGGCAUGAGAGCAGAAUGACUGUACAGGGGGGAGAGCUGCUCUUGAGUUGCUAGCAUGAAAAACAUAUUUGUAAAGGGAUAAAAUUAGUGCUGGGUACAAGAAUGCCAUUUAAUGAAACAAAUGACUACACUGCUCAGUGGCAGGAAAAAAUGUGACACAUCACAGAUAACCCCCUUCCCUGUCUCAGGGUUGCUGCAGAGCAUUUCUGGCAGCACUGGGCAGGCUGGGAUGAGAAGUGGAUCCCAGUGCUGAGGCUUCCUGCAUGCUGAGACCCCCUCACUGUGGGGACAGGUCUCACUGUGGGGACAGUGAGUGACUGUCUUGGGUUCUCAUCUGUGGGCUUGUAGUGAGAAGUGUUUUCUUCAGGUACUAAGACAGCGGGGCAGGAGGGAAACAUGAGAACGUGGUCUCACUGAGAUGUAUAUUGCUUGUGAGGUCCUUGUGGCAGCAAUGUCACAGAAAAACUUCAUGAUAAAAAUUGAAUGACUCUUCUUACUGGGUGCUCUUUUAUCCCCUAUUCAUUGUGUUUUAUUGCUCCUGUGCUUUAUUUUUGGUUUUUUUGUCUCCUUUUGAUGUUGUCAUCUAUGUAGUUCUAAUCCAUUUUUUUUUGUUCCUUAUUGUUGCAUUUUUCAGUCAUGCAUAUCACUACUCCUUUAACUUUCCUAAGGACUUCUCUCUCGUCUCUGUUGUGCUCUGCUGUACAGCUUGGCCACCAUCCAUAUGAUGGAGCAAUGUAGCCAAGCUGUGGGGUGACCAAGGCUUGCAUCACUGCCCUGACCCAGAUUGCAUCUGCAGUCAUCUGGAACUGACUACACGCCUGAGCUGAUAAAAGAGGCUGUGGAAAUUCAGAUCUCUGGGGCCUUGCAAGAUGUUUGUGCCAUAUCCACCUGUCGUCUGGAAGACAAAAGAGUGAGGAUUAGCAGUGCGUAAUUUAUUCUGCAUAAACUGAACAGAUGAGAACUGCCUUGACAGCUACAAGAAGAAAAUAGUGUGAUAUGACCACAGAAAGCACAUGUUCUAUCUAACAAUUUCACUAUUGAUCCCAACGAGGAGUGGCACUCAACCUCCUUCUGAUUACCUCUGUUCUUUUCUUUUGCUCUAACAGUAUAUUUUCUUUCCAACACGCAAGUGUUUAUGCAAAAAUACCAAGAUUCUCUAUGCAGAUUAAAAUAGGUUUACAAAUUAAGGAAAGGCUGGUAUGGAACAAGAGGAAAAUUAUCCCAGCAUUUUGCAUUUUUUUGUAAUCUGAGUCCUGUCUUUGGAGGGUGUUAUAACAACUACACGCUUGGUGAGGCCUAAGAGGAUUUUUCUUGUGAAAUGACUGAAGGAGUUAGCCCUAGAAUAUCACCCUGCUCUAAAAGAGGUGUUCAGUAAGCAAUAGGUGGGCUCUCUUGGGAAAAAUGCAGAAGAAAGCUUGGUGAGAGCUGGAUCCUCUGCAGUGUCACCUCUCAUGAGUGAUUGACAAAAGAAAAAAAAAAAAAUAGGUGAACUAAUUCACUGUGGGGAUGGAAGGAUGGAUGCUUCCUGUUGUGGAAUAGGACGAAAUCCUGUGACAUGUUCUCUCCUAUUAGGUUUGAUACCAAUGCUUAUGAUAAAGAUUAAUUUCUAAAAAACAACUGUAAACCUAUAGGUCAGCCAAUAAGACACUGACUUGACUAAUUUUUCAUUGCAAAGAGUAUGAUAGUUUCAUGCCUUUAAUUAACAUCAGUGCAGACAGUGUGUUGUU